AAUGAACGCUGGCGGCGCGCCUAAUACAUGCAAGUCGAGCGAGAAGACGUAGCAAUACGUUUGUAAAGCGGCGAACGGGUGAGGAAUACAUGGGUAACCUACCCUCGAGUGGGGAAGUAACUAGCCGAAGGUUAGCUAAUACCGCGUACGCUUCUUGGACUUCGGUUCAGGGAGGAAAGCGAUGCCGAGGGUAUCGCGCUCUUGGAUGGGCUCAUGUCCUAUCAGCUUGUUGGGAGGUAACGGCUCACCAAGGCUUCGACGGGUAGCUGGUCUGAGAGGACGAUCAGCCACACUGGCACUGCGACACGGGCCAGACUCCUACGGGAGGCAGCAGUAAGGAAUAUUGCGCAAUGGGCGAAAG
rnacentral:rRNA from 1 species